CAGUCCAGACUUCUUAAUGUGAUGCGUAGUCCUCCAGGCGACUGCUGAGUGGCUGCUUCUUAGCUUAUGUUGGAGCAAUUCUAAAUGUGUUAGUUAUCACGAUCCCUAAUCACAUCCCUCCACGCUUGCCAUCUGGUCUCUCCAUACUCCUCUUGGCUUUCAUUGGCCUGUUCAGUGGCAGAGCCUUCCAUUUUCCCUUCAAGAACUAGGGGGCUCCAAGCAACGUGUUUCCAUUGAGCUUAGAGCAAGAACGCCCUGUGUUGUGUUCUCUCUGCACUGUAGGUCCCUUGAUGGCACAUGUCAUAUCCUUUUCUCUUUGCUACUUUAUCCUGCAGCCUGAUGGACACAGUGUGAAAAGUUGACUCAGCAAGUAGUGAACCCCAUGCUUAGUCCUACCUUAUAUUAAGAAAAAAUGAGUAAUCGGGCCAACAAAUCUGGAGCCUGAUUUUUACAUUAAUAGGACAACACUCAGAGAUGGCAAAGGGAUACAAGCAGAUACAAGGAUCUCAGCAAGGAUGUUAGGCCCACUAUCCAAACAGAAUUAAUUAAAAUACAUAUUGUAAUUAAAAUAUAGAAAUUGCCAGGCAGUGGUGGUACACAACCUUUAAUCUCAGUUCCAGGGCACUCAGGGAUGUAGUCUACGCAGACCGCCCAUAAGAAAGCCAUUGGUUCACAGCAGAUAACAAAGCCCACCCUAAACUUUAAUAUCAAGUGUAUUUAGUGACCAAAAUAGGAUGUUUGCCCAUAAGUUGGUUGGAAUAUAAAAUCUAGAAGCUGUCUAACCUGCACAGUACUCAGAAUAAGAGCUCACUGAGUGUUUGAGUUGGCUCUAAGGGGCCUUUCAUCGAGGUGAGAUGGGCUGUUUGAACCUUUGGUUCACGCACAGCUCUGGAAGGCCCUGUCCUGGAACUCUAAAUGUAACAAGGAGAAAGCCAAGGCAGAACGUGUCAGCAGUGUGCGGGACCCAGUGCCUGCGUCACGUCCAGCCUACAGGGCACUGCAGAAAUAGUGAGAGACAGUUGUCUAAUGCUACUGGGGGUGCUUCUGUAAGUGUUCCUGUCUUUAGUCUUCCCCCUGUGGUUAAGGCUUAUAUAACUGCUUAUGCCUUAAUCCUGCCUCACCUUGGAAUCCUCAAAUAUACCUUACUGUGGCAGAAUAGCCAUUAAGGGGUGUGUGGGGACACGGCACACCAGGUUCUGGGCUAUCUCUUACAUCCAUUGCUGAAUUUCACAAUGAUGUUUCAAAGCAUCGAUUCCUGGAUUUAAUUGUUACAUUAUUUUCAUGUAACAGUGUGGCUUUGCCACUCUUUCCUAAUGUUACUGAUUUUUUUUUUUUUGAAAAUGACUCAGAAAACAAAGAAAAAUACCAAAUAGAGAAUCUCCUUUGUUCAUCAUCUGUCUCCAAUCCAAGUUUCUUGGGGGAAAGAGAUCUUUUGUUUCUUUUCUAGGGUGAAGAGCCUUUAAGAAAGGCUCUUACUCCAGAACCAGCUGUCCUGAGAUUUAUGAAACUGAAACAUUAAGUCCCACGUUAACACAGAACAAAUUAUUUAGGUUUUUAUGGUUGUCCAUGAACAAAAUACUCCAGCUUCAUAAUUACUAUAUUUCAAAGGAGGAAGCUACCUUCUUUAAAUAGCAGGCUGCCAAAUUGAAUGAUUCCUGAGAAAAAUUGAUACAAACAGAAAAAAAUCAUACAAUAUAAAAUAUGACCCAUAAUUUCUAAGUUGGAUGAUUACUCCUUCAAAACUUGCAAACGUUAACCAGCAAGCAAGUGUGAAGAGUUCCCAGCCUAGGAUGCAUUGAUGAGGGCAUAUAUACCUACCGUUGGGGUUAACAUACCUUAGAUCAUGAGGAUCAAGUGCUUGCACUGUGCCUACUGUGAUAGAAAGCAGCACUCACCCUGCAAAGCCAUCCUGUUGUGAGAUGAAUUGCAUUCGUUUGCAGCCCUCAAGUGAACCGGACCAUUUAUAACAUUUCCGUUUCAUUUCUCGGCUCUCCACCUGUCCCUAAGAGGUAGGCCUCCCCAGCUCCCUGUAUCUCCUUUAUCUCCCCUGAUAUAAGGAGUUGGAAAGAAAAUGGGGGAAAAAAACCCAAAGCAUGAAAGAGUGAAGGGGACUGGGGGGAGAGAUGGUAGAGGAACGGGCAGAACCAACUUCACUACAUCGAGUUAUAUAAAACAGCUAGAGAGGCCAUCGUCAUAUAGAAUGGAAACAUCUUGAUUUUUUAAAUAAUAAAACACACCAGCUGCUUUUACUAUACCUACGUGACAGGGCAGAACAGCACAGCCAUGAAAUAAGUCAUAAAGAUGGUACACUGGCAUUAACUUGACCUGGCCUGGGAGUCUGUGACUUAUUGAACCCGCAGCCCCUGACAAAAUCUAAACACCACUGGGUUAACUCUAUGCAGAGGUUAGAUUGGCCAUUAGUGUGUAUUGCAAUCUUUUGAUGUGUGGGCUCUUGAAGACCGCAAACUUUUCCUUUAUUACCCUGCCCUUCUCAGGCUGUUUAGAUCUCUGAACCGAUAUAGCAGGGCUCAGCAGGAGCAGCGUGACUCAGAAGGAAAUCUGUUUACCAGCAACGUGCAGUGACUAAGUUCUAGUUCAAAACAAGAUCCCUUUUAGCUGGGGGUGGGGUGGGGUAUGGGAGGGUGCUGGCAUGAUUCUGCCGACACCCUUGCUUCACUUAAAAAAGAAAACUCAGAACAGGUCUGUGUACCACGGAAGGCGGCAUUUUUACGCUCUAGAGAACCAUAGAAGUAUAGGAGAGUGGAUCCAACCACAACCUCUUCUUUAAAUUUGACACGAGUUUAAGCUCAAAUCCUUAUGCUUAAAUAUGACAAAUGCGUGCUGCCGGCAUGAAGGCUUAACUAGUUUGCUUUUGUAACAAACAAUGAAUGCCAUUGGCUUGCC
rnacentral:lncRNA from 1 species